rnacentral:rRNA from 1 species
AACGCGAAGAACCUUACCUGGCCUUGACAUACUAGAAACUUUCCAGAGAUGGAUUGGUGCCUUCGGGAAUCUAGAUACAGGUGCUGCAUGGCUGUCGUCAGCUCGUGUCGUGAGAUGUUGGGUUAAGUCCCGCAACGAGCGCAACCCUUUUCCUUACUUGCCAGCAUUUCGGAUGGGAACUUUAAGGAUACUGCCAGUGACAAACUGGAGGAAGGCGGGGACGACGUCAAGUCAUCAUGGCCCUUACGGCCAGGGCUACACACGUGCUACAAUGGUCGGUACAAAGGGUUGCUACACAGCGAUGUGAUGCUAAUCUCAAAAAGCCGAUCGUAGUCCGGAUUGGAGUCUGCAACUCGACUCCAUGAAGUCGGAAUCGCUAGUAAUCGUGGAUCAGAAUGCCGCGGUGAAUACGUUCCCGGGUCUUGUACACACGC